ACUGUCACGUUGGCUUAUUUUGGAAGUCACAGACUAAGUUUUACCUCCACUUAGAAAUGGAGUUAGGCACUGCUUGUAUAUUCCAAAGUAGGAUUUCAAUGUCACAGGUUGCAUUACUUAAUAACAUUGAACCGUUUCAUGAAUUAAAGUAUACUUGGGCACCCUGUCCUUGCUGAUCUCAGGCAGGGGAACACCAUGUGUUCAACACCCUCCCAAAAGCUGGCCUUGCCUGAAUGUGUUUUGUAGUCUCCAGCAACACCUGCUGGACAAAAUUGUUAACUGUGCACUGAAUUUUUGUCUUUGAAGUGUUUUGUGUGCUGGUAUGACACUCGACCCUGAUUGUUAGGAGGCAUUGUCUUGUUCUGCAGCAGUGACUGAGCCUUCUAACCAGCAGGAAUUCAGUUUCCGUUCCAAAAGUUGGUAUCAGAUGGUUACUGCAGCACACAUGGGACUGAAUUUCCUCUUCCUCUCUGCAGGUGAAGUGUCUAUGGUAUUCUGUUCUCUAUAGUGAAUCCUGUAACUUGGUGAGAUGUAAAUACCUUAUCAGCAGCAAGUAUGGAGUAAUAUUUGUGUUACCAGGGAGGAAUUCAAAGGAUCUGUGUGAAGUGCUGCACCUGGUUGAUGCUGGGCAGCCCAGGGCUCCAGAAGGAAUGAAAGGUUAUGUACACUGUUCUCUCCAUUAUAAUGUUGGCUGCAAUAAAUGGUAUUUUAAGUGACACUUUAGAAUCUGAGUGCCUUUCUUAGUGGAAUCACAAUAAACCAGCACCACCUGGUACA
rnacentral:lncRNA from 1 species